rnacentral:rRNA from 1 species
GAGUUUGAUCCUGGCUCAGGAUGAACGCUGGCGGCGUGCUUAACACAUGCAAGUCGAACGAAGCACUUUGCUUUGAUUCCUUCGGGUUGAAGAGUAUUGUGACUGAGUGGCGGACGGGUGAGUAACGCGUGGGUAACCUGCCCCAUACAGGGGGAUAACAGAUAGAAAUGUCUGCUAAUACCGCAUAAGACCACAGCACCGCAUGGUGCAGGGGUAAAAACUCCGGUGGUAUGGGAUGGACCCGCGUCUGAUUAGCUAGUUGGUGGGGUAACGGCCCACCAAGGCGACGAUCAGUAGCCGACCUGAGAGGGUGACCGGCCACAUUGGGACUGAGACACGGCCCAAACUCCUACGGGAGGCAGCAGUGGGGAAUAUUGCACAAUGGGGGAAACCCUGAUGCAGCGACGCCGCGUGAAGGAUGAAGUAUUUCGGUAUGUAAACUUCUAUCAGCAGGGAAGAAAAUGACGGUACCUGACUAAGAAGCCCCGGCUAACUACGUGCCAGCAGCCGCGGUAAUACGUAGGGCGCAAGCGUUGUCCGGAAUUAUUGGGCGUAAAGAGCUCGUAGGCGGUUUGUCGCGUCUGGUGUGAAAACUCAAGGCUCAACCUUGAGCUUGCAUCGGGUACGGGCAGACUAGAGUGUGGUAGGGGUGACUGGAAUUCCUGGUGUAGCGGUGGAAUGCGCAGAUAUCAGGAGGAACACCGAUGGCGAAGGCAGGUCACUGGGCCACUACUGACGCUGAGGAGCGAAAGCGUGGGGAGCAAACAGGA